UCCCUGGUGGUCCAGUGGUUAGGACUUCGCCUUCCAAAGCAGGAGGUGCAGGUUCGAUCCCUGGCUGGGGAG